AUGAAUGAGGUGGAUUGUUCAGUGUAUAUUAAUUAUUUAUUUUCAUUUUACUUAAAAUAUAUGUUUUUGUUAAGUUAACAUAUGUUUUUCUAAUCAAGUCUACGUAAUUGUGUCUAUUAUUCACUGUACAUAAUACUAAUGUGUUACUUGAUGGCAUAACAUUUAAGUUAAGUCAAUUAGGAUCGAUAUACUUUGUAUAUCCACAAGGUGGCAGUAAUGCAAAAACAGUUGUAAUGAAACCGCGAAGAACAACAAGGUUUCACAGCUUGGGCCUGUUCAUGCGCAAGACUUCAAAUUUAACUUAAAAACGUUGUUUUGGCGCCAAGCUGCUGUUUCUUUGAGAGAUCCUGCCUUUACCUGCUCCCUCCUAUACUGAUGUGGUGUAUGUGGUACUGCUGAGCUUGUAUGUGAUCUGAACCAUUGUAAAGGUUGCAGUUCAAGGGCCUGAGGUGGAAGCAGAAUUUGUGAGGAUUACUACUGCUCCACUUGUUCCAAGGCUUUUUGCACAACUUGACCAAUACACUGACCAGCUCAUAAAAGUCUUCAAGAAAAAAGGAGGUGCUGCAGUGAAGAAAAUUAGACAAACUUUGGCUCCAGCCGCAAAGAAGGAAACUAUUGAAAACGGGAGGGAGUGUGUCCUCAGGGUACUACCUUUUUACCUGAAUGAAGACCCAAGCAUCCUCUUCAAAGAAUAAUUGGUUGCUACAGCUACAACUGUUCAGAGGGAGCUGGAACAAAUUACCCUUGCUAUCUUCACCAUUGAAAAAGCUGAUGUCAGCACUCCUCCAGCCGAUGUGGGUAUAACCAUCUAGGGUGUUCUGCAUGACCUGGAAAACAUGGCCUCUGCAUGUGCACUCUUAAUGGGUGGGAUAUAUGCACUGAAUCUCAGUUAACCUCGAGACUGAAAGCUUUCUUUGAAGUACUUCAGAAGCUCUUCCUUCAUCUGUAUGUCAGCAGACUCUUGACCAAGGUACAGAUACUCAAGAAUAAACUGAACGAAUAAGCCAACCCUUAAUUUGGAUGAUGAAUGUUCUGUCAGAUGGACAGAAGUUUUUCAGAGGCUGAAUGGGAAUAAAACGGUAAUUUGUUGAAAAUGACAGAUAAAGGGAAAAUUACAUGUAAGAGAAAUUUAGAAAAGUUUGUAAACUACUACAAUUUGAGAGAUUUUACUCUUGUGGGGGGAGGAGGGGCUAGUAAGAGACAAUCAAAAGUGUUGAGAUUUAAAGGAUUUAAUUGAGAGAUGAUACUGCACCAGAAAUGUUGAAGGGUGGUGUAUAUAUUAGCGUUCAAGGUAUAUUGUUAUGAGGUGGAAAUAUGUUCAUAUUCUGUUUGUGUUACAUUGUGUGCAUUGUAAAGGUAAUUGCAAUACAUACUAAGAAUAAGGGUAGUUAGGAAUGCAGGAUGAAUGUAUAUUUUGCGGACUUUUAAAGACGAACAAUUGUUUCCAUGUUAAAAUGUUUACAACCCAAGUUUUUUGCCCUAACACUGGUAAAAUAAACGUUGAGGGUGGCAAGUGUUAAAUGGUUACUGUUGUGCUGUUGCAAAAAAACUGAACGCUGACAAGCUGUUUUAUUGUUAGACCAUAAUGCUGGCAUGCUUUAUUUAAGUUUUAUUUGGGAUGGUGAUAUAAUUUUCUUUGAUUGCUAAUAUCAGUGGACU